rnacentral:rRNA from 1 species
UACGUAGGGGGCAAGCGUUGUCCGGAAUCACUGGGCGUAAAGGGCGCGUAGGCGGCUCAUGAAGGCUGUGGUGAAAGUCCGGGGCUCAACCUCGGAUCGGCCGUGGCGACUCGUGGGCUGGAGCACUGUAGAGGCGGGUGGAAUUCCGGGUGUAGCGGUGGAAUGCGUAGAGAUCCGGAAGAACACCAGUGGCGAAGGCGGCCCGCUGGGCAGUGGCUGACGCUGAAGCGCGACAGCGUGGGGAGCAAACAGG